rnacentral:rRNA from 1 species
GACGAACGCUGGCGGCGUGCUUAACACAUGCAAGUCGAACGGAAAGGCCCUGCUUUUGUGGGGUGCUCGAGUGGCGAACGGGUGAGUAACACGUGAGUAACCUGCCCUUGACUUUGGGAUAACUUCAGGAAACUGGGGCUAAUACCGGAUAGGAGCUCCUGCUGCGUGGUGGGGGUUGGAAAGUUUCGGCGGUCGGGGAUGGACUCGCGGCUUAUCAGCUUGUUGGUGGGGUAGUGGCUUACCAAGGCUUUGACGGGUAGCCGGCCUGGGAGGGUGACCGGCCACAUUGGGACUGAGGUACGGCCCAGACUCCUACGGGAGGCAGAAGUGGGGAAUAUUGCACAAUGGGCGGAAGCCUGAUGCAGCAACGCCGCGUGCGGGAUGACGGCCUUCGGGUUGAAAACCGCUUUCGGCUGUGACGAAGCGUGAGUGACGGUAAUGGGUAAAGAAGCACCGGCUAACUACGUG